rnacentral:rRNA from 1 species
AUUGAACGCUGGCGGCAUGCCUUACACAUGCAAGUCGAACGGCAGCGGACCUUCGGGUGCCGGCGAGUGGCGAACGGGUGAGUAAUAUAUCGGAACGUACCUUUCAGUGGGGGAUAACGUAGCGAAAGUUACGCUAAUACCGCAUAUUCUGUGAGCAGGAAAGCAGGGGAUCGCAAGACCUUGCGCUGAUUGAGCGGCCGAUAUCAGAUUAGCUAGUUGGUGAGGUAAAGGCUCACCAAGGCGACGAUCUGUAGCGGGUCUGAGAGGAUGAUCCGCCACACUGGAACUGAGACACGGUCCAGACUCCUACGGGAGGCAGCAGUGGGGAAUUUUGGACAAUGGGGGCAACCCUGAUCCAGCCAUGCCGCGUGAGUGAAGAAGGCCUCGG